GCUUACGGCCACACCGCCUGGUUCACGCCCGAUCUCGUUUGAUCUCGGAAGCUAAGAUAGGGUGGGCCUGGUUAGUACUUGGAUGGGAGACCGCCUGGGAAUCAGGUGUUGUAAGAU
rnacentral:rRNA from 1 species